UUGGAGGGCAAGUCUGGUGCCAGCAGCCGCGGUAAUUCCAGCUCCAAUAGCGUAUAUUAAAGUUGUUGGGGUUAAAAAGCUCGUAGUUGAACCUUGGGCCUAGCCGGCCGGUCCGCCUCACCGCGUGCACUGGCUCGGCUGGGUCUUUCCUUCUGGAGAACCGCAUGCCCUUCACUGGGUGUGCCGGGGAACCAGGACUUUUACUCUGAACAAAUUAGAUCGCUUAAAGAAGGCCUAUGCUCGAAUACAUUAGCAUGGAAUAAUAGAAUAGGACG
rnacentral:rRNA from 1 species